AGCGAACGCUGGCGGCAGGCCUAACACAUGCAAGUCGAACGAAGUCUUCGGACUUAGUGGCGGACGGGUGAGUAACACGUGGGAACGUGCCUUUAGGUUCGGAAUAACUCAGGGAAACUUGUGCUAAUACCGAACGUGCCCUUCGGGGGAAAGAUUUAUCGCCUUUAGAGCGGCCCGCGUCUGAUUAGCUAGUUGGUGAGGUAAAGGCUCACCAAGGCGACGAUCAGUAGCUGGUCUGAGAGGAUGAUCAGCCACAUUGGGACUGGGACACGGCCCAAACUCCUACGGGAGGCAGCAGUGGGGAAUCUUGCGCAAUGGGCGAAAGCCUGACGCAGCCAUGCCGCGUGAAUGAUGAAGGUCUUAGGAUUGUAAAAUUCUUUCACCGGGGACGAUAAUGACGGUACCCGGAGAAGAAGCCCCGGCUAACUUCGUGCCAGCAGCCGCCGUAACAC
rnacentral:rRNA from 1 species